GUGCCCAGUGGUGAUGCCCAGGAGAGGGAAUGGAAACCUGGAGCUGGGAGCGAGGUUGGAGCUGUAAGAUCCAAGACCCAGGGAGACAAGAGGACCCUGGGGACAAAUAGGAACAGCUGAGCAAGGCAAGACUGAACCCCGGGCGGGCGGGUUGGGGGAACAUGCCUAGCUAGAGGGCGGCAGCAGGAAAGCAGAGAAGGCAUCCCUGCAGGUUGGCCCUGGGGCAGAGUGCUGGAUCCCAGCAACGGACAAGUUAGUUAACUUAAAGGGGGGCAUCCUCAAGGCAGUAAACUGGAGCCAAGUGGGUUAAAUCCUUCUUGCUGCUAUUAAGGGGAGGAGACAGGUUUCUGCAGACUCUACAUUUUGGAGAGAAACAGAAAAGAAUGUCCCCAAGUCUCCUUUGCCCUGCGAUGCUGGGGCAGAUUGGCAAGGUCCCAAGAGAAGCACAAUGGUAACCGACGCUGCCCUUGGCUGAACUUCUUCUGUUAAAUCCUUCGGAUGGAUGCUGGAAUCGACCUUGAUCUCUAGUUCGACUCCCGUGCAACGUGUUGAGGAGGAGCCACCUCCUCCAAGCACCUAAAGCCGACCCAGAAACGCCUCCCAAUCCCUCCACACCGCGGCUCCCGGGAUCCGAAGCUGGGGAGCUGCUUCUGUCCAAUCAGGCUUUGUAUCCCGGGACGCUUCCGGUUAUGGCGUCAUUAUGCAGCCAGGGAUGAGACAGGAGCCUAUCUGAUUGACAGAGACCCCACCUACUUUGGUCCUAUCCUCAACUACCUCCGCCACGGGAAACUAAUCAUCACUAAGGAGUUGGCAGA
rnacentral:sRNA from 1 species